GAUGAACGCUGGCGGCGUGCCUAAUACAUGCAAGUCGAGCGAACAGAUAAGGAGCUUGCUCCUUUGACGUUAGCGGCGGACGGGUGAGUAACACGUGGUUAACCUACCUAUAAGACUGGGAUAACUUCGGGAAACCGGAGCUCUUACCGGAUAACAUUUGGAACUGCAUGGUUCUAAAGUUAAAGAUGGUUUUGCUAUCACUUAUAGAUGGACCCGCUCCGUAUUAGCUAGUUGGUAAGGUAACGGCUUACCAAGGCGACGAUACGUAGCCGACCUGAGAGAGUGAUCGGCAAAGCGGGAACGGAGACACGGGCAAGACUCCUACGGGAGGAAGCAGUAGGGAAUCAUCAGCAAGGAGCAAAAGACAGACGGAGCAACGCCGCGUGAGUGAUGAAGGGUUUCGGAUCGUAAAACUCUGUUAUUAGGGAAGAACAAAUGAGUAAGUAGCUGUGCACGUCUUGACGGUACCUAAACAGAAAGCAACGGCUAACUACGUG
rnacentral:rRNA from 1 species